rnacentral:misc_RNA from 1 species
GAUGAAGAACGUAGCGAAAUGCGAUAAGUAAUGUGAAUUGCAGAAUUCAGUGAAUCAUCGAGUCUUUGAACGCACAUUGCGCCCCCUGGUAUUCCGGGGGGCAUGCCUGUCCGAGCGUCAUUGCCGCCCUCAAGCACGGCUUGUGUGUUGGGCCCCCGCCCCCCGGCUUCGGGGGGUGGGCCCGAAAGGCAGCGGCGGCACCGCGUCCGGUCCUCGAGCGUAUGGGGCUUCGUCACCCGCUCUGUAGGCCCGGCCGGCGCCCGCCGGCGACCCCAAUCAAUCUUUCCAGGUUGACCUCGGAUCAGGUAGGGAUACCCGCUGAACUUAAGCAUAUCAAUAAGCGGAGGA